UAGGGAAUCUUCGGCAAUGGGGGGAACCCUGACCGAGCAACGCCGCGUGAGUGAAGAAGGUUUUCGGAUCGUAAAGCUCUGUUGUUAAGGAAGAACGAGUGUGAGAAUGGAAAGUUCAUGCUGUGACGGUACUUAACCAGAAAGGGACGGCUAACUACGUGCCAGCAGCCGCGGUAAUACGUAGGUCCCGAGCGUUGUCCGGAUUUAUUGGGCGUAAAGGGUUCGCAGGCGGCAAUGCAAGUCAGAUGUAAAAGGCAAAGGCUCAACCUUUGUAAGCAUCUGAAACUGUAUAGCUUGAGAAGUGUAGAGGCAAGUGGAAUUUUUAGUGUAGCGGUGAAAUGCGUAGAUAUUAAAAAGAAUACCGGUGGCGAAGGCGACUUGCUGGGCACAAUCUGACGCUGAGGAACGAAAGCGUGGGGAGCAAACAGG
rnacentral:rRNA from 1 species